rnacentral:lncRNA from 1 species
AUGCCUAACUAUCCUCGAGUAGUCAUUCUCGCAGGUGGAGGCUCAACUUGAGAGGAUUGAGGUGGAGGUGCGGGAGGAGCUAAAGCAGAAGGAGCUGUGUUUCCGAGAGGCUGAUUUUGUGGUAGACCUUUGUAAGAUUGAAGUAAACAAGGGUGAUAGGCUGUCGCUGAUAUCAAGGAAUUGAUAAGAGUUUGUGUUUGAGGAGGUUUUUUGUGCAGCUGGGAAUGUGGUUUCAUAAAAUACCACAUGACGAGAAAGGAUGAUUCUGUUUGUUUUGAGAUUGAGACAUCGGUAACCCUUGUGAUUUGAAGGAUAGCCAAGAAAGAGUUUUCAUAAUUCUAAGAAACUAUCUAAUCUAUUAAAACUAUUAAAACUGAAGUACAAUUACAAAUUAGCUCUCAUUUAACUUAAAUAAUUAUAAGUUUAUGCCACUGGCUAUUAAUACCAUUAUUUAA